GUAACAUUUCUUUGAAGACACAGCAGACGCGGCGUCUGAUUUGAAGAAAUCGAAUUCCAAAAACCAUCAAGCUGUGGCGCCAGGUAUCACUGAUUUGUAAAUUGUCUUAAGUCAGGUGUCAUAAUUCGAUCGCCUACCUGCUUAACCAACGCAUUCAGCGAUUCCUUAUAAAAAGCAGUAAGUUAGGCCAGAAUCUCAGUAACCAAAGGUGAACCUUUGAACUUCUGGUCACUCAAUCUUCUGCUGCGUUUGGCAACGUCUUUCAUCAAACGAUUGAAGCAAUCUGUUACAAUCUAACACUACUAAGCAACUAACUGAUCAUACCAACCAACCAACCAGUUACUAGCACACCAUUCCAUUCAUCCAACUAACAAGCCAUCCAGCGAUCCAGCGAUCCAACUGUUAACCAAACGAUUUUACUUUGGAUCACCUGACAACCAUCUCUCAACAAUGGUAUCUGGUACUUUAAUCACCCUUCUCUCUUUAUUGCUUGUCCUGCCCAACAUGGACGCUUCUAAUACAGUACCGGUGGUACAGGGCAGUGGUGACGUCGCCACAAAUGGGACCCAGAAAAGCAUUUUAACCCGCGUAAUUCGAACUCCAAGCAGGAACCCAACCAGGGUUACUCAGAGGCCCUGUCAUGUGCACGUCUGUGUGCAAACUAAAGUUCAAGGAACAUGUGUCCAGUUUGGGAACAGAAGGAGUGGUGUCCCGGCUUGUUCAGCUGGCCAAUAUUUAGACAUCCAAUCUGAACAAUGUCAAGGAUCUUAAAAUUCCACAUGGAAAUACAAAGAAGGUAGCAAAACGACAAAAUAUAACAAACAACUGAGAAAAACGAAGGAAAAAGAAAACAAGAAGAGUCCUAAAAUGAAAACAUAACACACACACAUAAACAAGGAGAAAAUAUGAAGCAUUCAAAUGACUUUUAGUUAGAUAAAUUUAUUUAGACAAAGAAAUGUAGAACUUGUUUUGGUAUAUCAUAUGUACUAGAUAUUCAGAAAUGGAAAAACAAAACAAAACAAAAACAAAAUAAAAAAAAAAACAAAACAAAAACAAAAAAAGCUCCAGGUGAAUAUUUGUGCUAAAGUAUUGAAAAUUAAAAAGACUCCUAAAAUUUUCCCCGAUCCUCC